AGAUUGAACGCUAGCGGGAUGCUUUACACAUGCAAGUCGAACGGCAGCGCGGACUUCGGUCUGGCGGCGAGUGGCGAACGGGUGAGUAAUAUAUCGGAACGUGCCCAGUAGCGGGGGAUAACUACGCGAAAGCGUGGCUAAUACCGCAUACGCCCUACGGGGGAAAGGGGGGAUUCUUCGGAACCUCU
rnacentral:rRNA from 1 species